GUAAUGUUCUUGCCUCUGCUUAAGAGUUCCUGAUUCUCAGCUUUGCUACCCAAGAGCUUCUUUUAAGAUCAGUAGCAUCACCAAAGAUCUGGCGAGAAAUGCACCCCUCAGAGCUCACCCAAACUAAUUACAUAGGAGACUGCAGUUUAACAAGAUCCCUAAGUAUGCUAUUCAUAUUUAAAGCUGUAAAAUAAGCUUUCUGUAAUAAUGAAAUUAAGUGUGCACACUGUUAUGAGCAAAAUACGUUAUUCAAAUAAUUUCUACUAGUAGUCAAUAAUAAUUGAUUGCUUUGAAUGUAAACAUGUUUUUGUUCUGACCCCAGGUGUGGGUUGUAGGACUGAUUGUCCACAGUAGCAGACUGUUUGCCUGGUGCAGGCUCUGAGAGGGGUCCUUUGGCAGAUGCAGAUAGUUUAAAUCUGAGGACUCUGGAGAGGGAAUAAAUGCCAGAGCCUAGAGAGUGCUAAAGGCUCCAAAAAAGAAAGCUGCUGGUGUCUACCCCUGCUGCUUGCUGUUGCUGUUGAUACAGUUUGAAGAGAAGUCCGAGAUAUCCUGAAAUGAAGACUGGAAUUUCCACAGGAACCUGAGGACCCUAACAAGCAGGAAGUAGAACUGUGGUUUUGAGUGGACAUGGAAACACCUCUCUGGAACUUGAGGCUACAUUCAUUGAAUAAAGUAGGCUUGUUAUCCACAGUUCUGCUUCAACUGCUAAGUUAUCAUGGAGAAUGACGUCGUUGGAGACCUGUGAGAACUGAUGUAGGAACCGAUGCUGGAAAGCCCACACAGCAGCUUCAGACCUCAACAUCGGUGUCACCUGAAAGCGUCCCUGGUGCUGGAUGCAGGGCCCGAGGCAGACGACAGGGUCAUGGGUUUGACAGCAACUGCUACUGAAGAGAAGAGACUCGGAAGGAUCCACCACCCGGGAGACUAGAGAGACGGGAGAGGAAGAGUGGAUGGCUCCUGGUGAACUAUGAGAGGCAGAGAGCAGAGUGAGAUCCUGGGUAGGUUUCUUCCCCAGGACAUUUUCAGAAAUUACAUGUAGCUUUGAGAGUGAGACUGAGCACCCAGACAGAACCAUAUUUGAAGGUUUGUGAAGGUGUGCGGUGGACGGAGGGACAAGCCGGGAGGGAACUCACAAACACUCAGGCUGACUCACGGGACAGUGAGGCUGACACAUGGGACAGUGAGGCUGACACACGGGACAGAGGGGGCUGACAGCCUCAGGGCUGCAGCGCAAGUGGACCAGAACUUGUGGGAAUCUCAACUCUGACCCAGUUUCUGCUUCACUGUCAGUCACCAGUUGCCACAGCAGAGCCCACCGUGGGAACCGACCCCUCCCUAGAAGAGGGCAGUAGCAUGCCAGCUCUCUUAGUUCCCAAACCAGAGCCCUCCAGCUGUGAGGCACAGGUGAGGCAGAUGAGAUGCCAAGUCCCAAGCAAGA